UACGUAGGGGGCAAGCGUUGUUCGGAAUUACUGGGCGUAAAGCGCACGUAGGCGGCUUUGUAAGUUAGAGGUGAAAGCCCGGGGCUCAACUCCGGAAUUGCCUUUAAGACUGCAUCGCUAGAACGUCGGAGAGGUAAGUGGAAUUCCGAGUGUAGAGGUGAAAUUCGUAGAUAUUCGGAAGAACACCAGUGGCGAAGGCGACUUACUGGACGACUGUUGACGCUGAGGUGCGAAAGCGUGGGGAGCAAACAGG
rnacentral:rRNA from 1 species